CGGAUUGACUCAGUGUAAUAGACUAUUCGCUGAGGACACGCUCUUUGUAGUGUGGCCGAAUGAGAUCUCAGUAGAAGCUUCCAACUACUUUAGUCAACUUUAGAUUAGACCUCAGAUCAGGCAGGAUUACCCGCUGAACUUAAGCAUAUCAAUAAGCGGAGGAAAAGAAACUAACAAGGAUUCCCCUAGUAACGGCGAGUGAAGCGGGAAGAGCUCAAAUUUGUAAUCUGGCACUUUCAGUGUCCGAGUUGUAAUCUCGAGAAGUAUUUUCCGCGCCGGACCGCAUACAAGUCUGUUGGAAUACAGCGUCAUAGUGGUGAGAACCCCGUAACUGAUGCGGAUGCCCGGUGCUUUGUGAUAUACUUUCGAAGAGUCGAGUUGUUUGGGAAUGCAGCUCAAAUUGGGUGGUAAAUUCCAUCUAAAGCUAAAUAUUGGAGCAAGACCGAUAGCGAACAAGUACCGUGAGGGAAAGAUGAAAAGCACUUUGGAAAGAGAGUUAACAGUACGUGAAAUUGUUGGAAGGGAAACGCUUGAAGUCAGACUUGCUAUUCGGAGUUCAGCCGCAAGGUGUAUUCUUCGAUUCGCAGGCCAGCAUCAGUUUUCGGGGGUGGAAAAUCACGGUUUGAAGGUAGCAACCUCGGUUGUGUUAUAGCUUUCCGUUGGAUUCAUCCUUGGGGACUGAGGAACGCAGUACGCUUUUGCAAGGCUCUCGAGCUUUUCGUACUUAGGAUGCUGGUGGAAUGGCUUUAAACGACCCGUCUUGAAACACGGACCAAGGAGUCUAACAUGCUUGCGAGUGUUUGGGUGUCAAACCCGGACGCGCAAUGAAAGUGAAUGGAGGUGGGAUCCGCAAGGUGCACCAUCGACCGAUCU
rnacentral:rRNA from 1 species